rnacentral:rRNA from 1 species
CCUACGGGAGGCAGCAGUGGGGAAUAUUGGACAAUGGGCGCAAGCCUGAUCCAGCCAUGCCGCGUGGGUGAAGAAGGCCUUCGGGUUGUAAAGCCCUUUUGUCCGGAAAGAAAAGCUUCGGGUUAAUACCCCGGGGUCCUGACG